GUUUAAUUUAGUGUUCUGAAUAAAAACUAUCAUGAGUUUCAAUGACUUUUCUCACGUGAGAUAGCGAUGUAAGUGUUUUUGUUGUUAUUCGAUAUUUUAUACACGUUUUUCUUCCGUUCCUUUUUCUAUUUAUUUAUAUAAGUAUUAAAAUGUUAUUGAUGGUAUGUUUUUCUUUCGUGUUAGUAGAAAGUUCUGGCCAUUGGCUCCUUCAUACACUGUAUGCAGCCUAUUUGAUAGUUUAUAAGGGGUCAAAAAAGGGCUUUUUGGAAACAAAAUAUCCAACAUUAUAUGGAACCGAAGGUGAACGAACAGAAAUAUCUAGAAAUGUUAUACAGAAGGCAACAUCCAACGCUGAAAAACAUGGGAAGAUACAGCGAGAAGUUUGUACCCAAAUUUUUUUUUAAACACCAGAAGAAAUGGUCAUCGUCCUAUGCCGUUCCAGAAAAUUUAAAUGGCACAAGAAGGCUUUUAGAUUGCGGCUUCCCUUCCAUCAAAAUAAAGUACUUAUUCUGGUGUGUCCACUUCUCAUCCUUCGACGUAACGUGCUGAUGAGUCACUUGUGUCCUCUGCCUAACCUUAGCUUGUCUGAACUCGAGGACGGCCCGUAACUUGAGCCGGAAGGUAAAGAAGGUGAAGAUAGAAGAACAUGAACGAGUUUUCUUUGUAAGGUAUAUGUACUUAAACUGGGCAGGAUUCAUGAUGUCAGUAUAACGAGGUCGUUAAAAGCAAGGAUACAAAAUUUGUACUCUUGAGUGAUCAAUGUAAUCACUU